rnacentral:rRNA from 1 species
GCGUAGGUGGGCAGGUAAGUCAGCGGUGAAAUCCCCGAGCUUAACUUGGGAACUGCCAUUGAUACUAUCUGUCUUGAAUACCUUGGAGGUGAGCGGAAUAUGUCAUGUAGCGGUGAAAUGCUUAGAUAUGACAUAGAACACCAAUUGCGAAGGCAGCUCACUACACGGUCGUUGACACUGAGGCACGAAAGCGUGGGGAUCAAACAGGAUUAGAUACCCUGGUAGUCCACGCCCUAAACGAUGGAUACUCGACAUCAGCGAUACACUGUUGGUGUCUGAGCGAAAGCAUUAAGUAUCCCACCUGGGAAGUACGACCGCAAGGUUGAAACUCAAAGGAAUUGG